rnacentral:tRNA from 2 species
GGGGAAUUAGCUCAGUGGUAGAGCGCUUGCUUAGCAUGAUUGUCUGCAUGAGGCCGUGGGUUCAAUUCCCACAUUCUCCA